AGAGUUUGAUCCUGGCUUAGGAUGAACGCUAGCUACAGGCUUAACACAUGCAAGUCGUGGGGCAGCACGGGAAGCAGCAAUGCUUUUGGGUGGCGACCGGCGAAUGGGUGAGUAACGAGUAUCCAACCUUCCCCAUAGUAGGGCAUAGCCCGUAGAAAUGCGGAUUAAUACCCUAUGUAUUCCGAGGAUGACAUCUGAUUCGGAACAAAGGUUCACCGCUAUGGGAUGGGGAUGCGUCUGAUUAGGUAGUCGGCGGGGUAACGGCCCACCGAGCCAUCGAUCAGUAGGGGUUCUGAGAGGAAGGUCCCCCACAUUGGAACUGAGACACGGUCCAAACUCC
rnacentral:rRNA from 1 species